rnacentral:rRNA from 1 species
CCUACGGGAGGCAGCAGUAGGGAAUAUUGCUCAAUGGGGGAAACCCUGAAGCAGCAACGCCGCGUGGAGGAUGACGGUUUUCGGAUUGUAAACUCCUUUUGUUAGAGAAGAUAAUGACGGUAUCUAACGAAUAAGCACCGGCUAACUCCGUGCCAGCAGCCGCGGUAAUACGGAGGGUGCAAGCGUUACUCGGAAUCACUGGGCGUAAAGAGCGCGGAGGCGGGAUAGCAAGUCAGAUGUGAAAUCCUAUGGCUUAACCAUAGAACUACAUUUGAAACUGUUAUUCUAGAGUAUGGGAGAGGUAGGUGGAAUUCUGGGUGUAGGGGUAAAAUGCGUAGAGAUCAAGAGGAAUACUCAUUGCGAAGGCGACCUGCUAGAACAUAACUGACGCUGAUGCGCGAAAGCGUGGGGAGCAAACAGGAUUAGAUACCCGAGUAGUC